AUUGAACGCUGGCGGCAUGCCUAACACAUGCAAGUCGAGCGAGCGGCGGACGGGUGAGUAAUGUAUGGGGAUCUUCCCGAUAGAGGGGGAUAACUACUGGAAACGGUGGCUAAUAACGCCUACUAUCGGAUGAACCCAUAUGGGAUUAGCUAGUAGGUGGGGUAAAGGCUCACCUAGGCGACGAUCUCUAGCUGGUUUGAGAGGAUGACCAGCCACACGGGAACGGAGACACGGCCCAGACGCCUACGGGAGGCAGCAGUGGGGAAUAUUGCACAAUGGGCGAAAGCCGGAUGCAGCCAUGCCGCGUGUGUGAAGAAGGCCUUAGGGUUGUAAAGUACUUUCAGCGGGGAGGCGUUACCCGCAGAAGAAGCACCGGCUAACUCCGUGCCAGCAGCCGCGGUAAUAC
rnacentral:rRNA from 1 species